GCGGAGGAAAAGAAACUAACCAGGAUUGCCUCAGUAAGGGCGACUGAAGUGGCAAUAGCUCAUGAUGUGAAUCUGCGGCCGAAUUGUGGUCUCACUUGUGUUAAGGGCUGGGCCAAGUCCGUUGGAACACGGCAGCAGAGAGGGUGAGACUCCCGUUUGCCUGGCCCAUGGAACAAGUGUUGUUGAGUCGAGUUGUUUGGGAUUGCAGCUCUAAGUGGGUGGUAAAUUCCAUCGAAAGCUAAAUACUGGUGGGAGACCGAUAGCGUACAAGUACCGUGAGGGAAAGAUGCAAAGAAGCGCGAAAGCGCUGUUAAAGAGUACCUGAACUUGCUGAAACGGAAGCGAAGGAAACCAGUGCCAGCUGCGUCAUACUUCCCUGACUGCUUGCGGUCGGGGCGCUGUGGCCAGUGUUGUCAGGCUUGGUUCAAGGAUGCGGAAGAGUGUGGGUAGAGUUGAUGCCCAUUGC
rnacentral:rRNA from 1 species